rnacentral:rRNA from 1 species
CCUACGGGUGGCAGCAGUGAGGAAUAUUGGUCAAUGGGCGAGAGCCUGAACCAGCCAAGUCGCGUGAAGGAUGAAGGAUCUAUGGUUUGUAAACUUCUUUUAUAUGGGAAUAAAGUGAGGAACGUGUUCCUUUUUGUAUGUACCAUAUGAAUAAGCAUCGGCUAACUCCGUGCCAGCAGCCGCGGUAAUACGGAGGAUGCGAGCGUUAUCCGGAUUUAUUGGGUUUAAAGGGUGCGUAGGUGGUUAAUUAAGUCAGCUGUGAAAGUCCGCGGCUCAACCGUGGAAUUGCAGUUGAAACUGGAGGCCUUGAGUGCACACAGGGAUGCCGGAAUUCAUGGUGUAGCGGUGAAAUGCUUAGAUAUCAUGAAGAACUCCGAUCGCGAAGGCAAGUGUCCGGGGUGCAACUGACGCUGAGGCUCGAAAGUGCGGGUAUCAAACAGGAUUAGAUACCCCAGUAGUC